GCCCGGGUGGCGGAAUGGUAGACGCUGGGGACUUAAAAUCCCCUGGCCGCAAGGCCAUGUGGGUUCGAGCCCCACCCCGGGCACCA
rnacentral:tRNA from 1 species